rnacentral:rRNA from 1 species
UACGUAGGGGGCAAGCGUUGUCCGGAUUUAUUGGGCGUAAAGAGCGUGUAGGCGGCCAGACAGGUCAGCUGUGAAAACUCGAGGCUCAACCUCGAGACGUCGGUUGAAACCGUCUGGCUAGAGUCCGGAAGAGGAGAGUGGAAUUCCCGGUGUAGCGGUGAAAUGCGCAGAUAUCGGGAAGAACACCCGUGGCGAAGGCGGCUCUCUGGGACGGUACUGACGCUGAGGCACGAAGGCCAGGGGAGCAAACGGG